UGACUGGGAUCCACUUUGCCAGCGAAGGAAAGAUUUUUGAAUUUUGAAUCUCCCCCAAAAUCAGGAAUUUUCCCAACGGUUCCUUCUUUAUAGGCUUUGCCCUCUCUUCUCUCCCUUCUUAUUCAUUGCUCUCUCGUCGUCGGCACCUUGAGCUCAGGUAAAUUAUUUUACCUUUCUUCUAGUUCUUCGAGUUUUGGUUAGAUAGAUCAGACCUCUCGUUAGGUUUCCUCGGAUUUUAGCUUUCUUAUCGCUGCGACCAAUUGAAUAGGAACCAUUGGCAUCAUGUCUAAGCGAUCCUCUUCUUCUGUUCCCACGGCGGCCGAUAGGGCUAUGUAGAUGAGGAGGAUUGAAUCGCUGGUUUCUCGAUCGGAGCUCGUCGG
rnacentral:lncRNA from 1 species